rnacentral:misc_RNA from 1 species
UUGCGAUCAGUUCGGUACAAUUCAAACAAGGAUCUUGAAUUUCCACCAUCAAGCUACAACAGCUGUAGAUCAAACGCUUCAAGAGUUAAUGGAAAUGGACAGGCUCAAAAGUUCAGCAACGUGGCUUCUCAAGUAAGGAAAAUGAAAGGAUUGCAAAAAGAAGAAGAGAUUUUGCUAGAACAAACAUGUACAAGGGAAAAGGUGGCAGACUUCAGAACAUCAAGGCUGAAAGUUGCAAGAGAUAAGAAAUUGAGAAAAGGAACUCGAAGGGUCUUUAAAGAGAAGCCAUUAGAACUAGAUGGAAGACCACAUGAACCAGAAAGGAUUCCACGAAAUGCAGUAAUGAAGAGUAAGUAUGUGACUGAACCUCGAAGAACAGGUGGGAUGGUUGAAAGGGAGGAUUGUAAGUUGGCAGCUGCUGAUUCAAGGAAAGAUUGCUGCGUCUCUUCCAUGUCUUCAAGAGAUUCUUAUGGAAGGAAAAUUGAUGAGGAUUGUGUUUUUGCUGGUGAGAAUGGAAGUGAUGGAUUUUCUUUAGAAAAGUUUAGCUUUGAGUGGCCGAAGUUGAAAGAGAAGAAGAUUGAAGCGCUGAAGUCAAGAAGUGAAGAACAGCGGAAAUCUCUGUAUGUAAGGAGGGACUUACAGAGAAAAAGACAAAGGCAGAGAGUUUAUUCUCCAAGAACAGCUUCAAAAGUCGAAAUUUGCAAAAUAAAAGCACUAGAAGACAUGAAGAAAGCUAAGUUGAAAAUGAAACAGAAGGCAGAGGAAAAAGAAAUGGAGGCAUUCAAGGGCUUAGAGAGCUUUAUGGUGGUGAAAUGUUCAUAUGAUCCCCAGAAGGACUUCAGAGAUUCAAUGAUUGAGAUGAUUAAAGAGCAGAGAAUGAGCCAGCCAGAAGAGCUUGAAGAACUCUUGGCAUGCUAUCUGACAUUGAAUUCUGAUGAGUUCCAUCAUCUCAUCAUCAGGGUAUUCCGGCAAGUAUGGUUCGACCUGAACCAAGCUUGUUUCGAUAUUGAAUUCACUAAUGAAGAGUGUUACUAGGAGUU